GUUACAACCACAACACCAUUCACAGGUUGUUUUGAAAUGUAAGUGAACUGAACUAAAUGAAUUGAACCACUGGUUAGGUUGACCAUAGGAUGACCAUAAAAUCGUAGGCACGUACGAGCGCGGGGUAUACGAGAUUUAGUCUCGAGGUUAUCGAGCUGGUAGGUUUGAGGGUUGAUUUGUGUUUAUUACCUCGUGUUGUUGUGCUACAGGUUAUGGCAUGUGCUUGUUUUGGUGUUAGGAGUGGGGACAAUGAGCAGACUAGUUCUGAGCAGUGAGGUGUCAUCAGACUGCUACUGGUAUUGUUACUGCCCCACCUCCAACACGGGACAAUGAGCAGACUAGUUUUGGACCCGAGAUUGAUACUCGAGUAUAUUCCACUGGAUUUGGGAUCUACCUUCAUCGAAUUUGAGCUUUAGAAGAUCCUUGGAGAAAGUUGAGUUUGGACCAGAGGGUGAUAUUCCAUCUUGGUUUACUGGUUUUGGGACUUUGCUACACCUGAUUUGGGAUUUGAAAGAGCCUUGGAGAAAUAUUGUUGCUGUUGCAGCGUGAUCUCGGUUGAACCUCCUGUUGUUUUCGGGACCUUCUUGCUGCCGUGGAAUUGCUUUGGAGGUGGGUUAAUCAUCGGUUUUACUUCCUAAGCAUGUGCAUAGUAGACAUGUAUAAUUUUCAGCUUUGGUAUAUUAUGUUUAGCUCAAAUUCAGUGAUUAGUAUAGUAUAUGAAAUCUGAU